AAAAAAACAAAACAAAAGCGUGGUAGACUGAGGCUGAUAGAGGUUGUGUAGGGCAAAAAGAGGGGCUGAUAGAGGUUGUGUAGGACAAAAAGAGGGAGACAUUCAAAUUCAAGUUCUGCCAUCGACUCACUGCAGGACCCGGGGGAGUUUACUCAAUCUCUUUGGCCCUCAGUUUCUUCACCAAUGAUCGGUAAAAUGGAAAUAAUACCCAUCCCAUGGAGUUAUGGGAAUUGAAUACACACGCACGCACACACACAGAAGCCAUAGCUAUAAUUGAUCAUCUAUGAGUUCCAGCUGGGGAUUCUCUAAAGUGAGUGAGAAACAACUACUCUUUCUAGAGUUUUUUGGUUCCUCGUCCCCGCCACCAUCUUUUAUAGUUGUCUUGACCGUAUCUAAUUAAACAGCAUUUCUCCUAAAGCAAUUGACUCCUAACACGUUUUCACCUUAGUUUCAUUAAAUAACAGUACAACUGGCAUACACAGGCUUGAAACUAACCACAAGUGACUCUGAGCAGGCGAAUGAUUUGACUGCAAGAGCAGAGAUGCUCAGGCAGGUGCUGAGCCGAAUGCUGCCAAGAGCAUUUGGAGGCCCUGGUCCUCUGUAGAAGACACUGCCAAUCCUCUGCCCAUGUCCCCUGGCCCUCAGUACAUGGGUGCACAUUGGCCUGACUUCUAGCUACCACUGCCCACAUUUCUUCGUCUGAGGCCUUCCCUUCCUGCUGGAGCUCAGCCUGCCACCUGUACAUCAGACCAGUGGCACAGAAUUGUGGGAAGUUCCCAUACCAAUGACUGAUGGGAAUUGGUGUAUAAAUACCCCAGCUCCCUCACCCCUAAGGUUGUGUAGCUCUGAAGCAUGCUCUAUACCAGCUCCCAGAGUUUAUCUGGCAGGAUUAAGCUCCGUUCUCCCAGUGGGAGCUGGCUUGGAAACUCACCCUUAACUGGCUGCCUUCCCUUUCAUAUCUCACUUUCCUGAGGCCCUACUGGUGUUCUGGCAUCUCUCAGAUAAACUAUUUAUUCUUGAAUCCUUGUCUCAGAGUUUGCUUCUGGUGGAAUCCAAACUAAGCCUCAGAUACGAGUUUUACUCUAGGGAUGGAGCACAUAGGACAAUAUGGCACUUCAGUUACAUGAACGUCACCAUGUACACAAUCCCAUCUGUGGUAGCCUGUAUAGUGGCCCCCAAAGAUGUCCCCAUCCUAAAUCCCCAGAAAUUACAAAUACGUUACCUUGCAUAGUAUUUAAAAGGGACUCUGAAAAUGGGAUUCAGGAUCUUUAGGUGGGGAAAUGAUCCCGGGUUAUCCAGGUGGGCCUGAUGUCAUUGCAAGGGUCCUGAUAAGAGGAGUGCAGGAGAAGUCAGAGUGGGAAGAAGGCCAUGUGACAACAGAAACAGAGGCAAGCAGAGUCAGAGAGAGAAGAUGCUACACUGUUGGCUUUGAAGAUAGGAAGGGGCCACAAGCCAAGGAAAACAGGCAGCCUCUAGAAGCUAGAAAGAGCGAAGAAACAUCUUCCCUGGAGCCUCUAGAAGGAACCAGCUCUGCCAACACUUUGCCUUUAGCCCCAUAAGACUCAGUCCACACUUCUGGCCUCCAGAACCAUAAAAGAAUAAAUCUGUGUUGUUUCAAGCCACUCGGCUUGUGGUGAUGUGCCACAGCAGCCACAAGAAAUGAACACACCAACCAACCCUUGCAUCAUGUAGUAGCAGGCAGGAUUUAUCCCCACUUUGCAGAUGGGAAAAACGGCAUUCAGGGUGGAAUAGCUUGCUCCUGAGGUCAAAGAACUCAUGAGUGGUAGAGCUGGGAUCAAACUUGGUCUGUGCAACCCUAAUACCAAUCAAGUAUCUUCUGCGCACAGCCCCAAUGCUGAUUCCACGAGGUAAACCUGCAAAGCCACUGCCCUAAGAUUGGUCUUCCUGGAGUCUACAAUGUCCAUGAAAAGGCUCAACAAAAAACCAAGCACAUCAAGCCUUGUGAAGAUGAUAAGAGACAUUUAUAGGAGCUUGCUAUGGGGCCAGGGCUUACCUUGGUACCUGAGUAAUAAAACUCUGCGUAGACAGCCCAAGCCCAAGACAGCCUCCCUAAUUCUAUUCUAGAAUAAAGCGGGAUAGACAAGGUACUGCAGUACAACUCUUGUUGUAUUUCAGAAGAAAUACAAAUACUCCAGUGCAUAAGAAAAAUGGAAUUGCUGCUAAAAUAUCAUUCAAUAAUCAGUGUGUAUUGCAUUGAACUCCUACUAUGUGCUAGGUAGGGGCUAGAUGCCGGGGAUCGAAAAAAUAAUAACUAAGAAGAAAUAAUGGCUGUCUCAGCAAUGCUGAGGAUACAGGGAGGAGAGGAAGCAUGCACUGCACAGCAUUAAUGAGGAUACUAUAGGAUGUGCGCUAUGCUUCUAAGUUUAGGAACCUUUCCUGAGGAUCUCCUUGGUACCAGAUAGGGGGGCUGGGAGCUGGGGAGAAGAUGAGACAGUCCCUGCUUUAAUAGAGCUGAUACUCUAAUGAGGUUAAUAAAUGGGUCGUGAAUAAGUGACAGGCAAUGUGCAUCCAUUUAUCAUUUAUUCAGUGACUGCAUUCAGUGUGCCAACACCAUGUCACAGGGGCUGGAGUGGAGAAAACGUAGGGGAAGCAGUGGAGGCUGGAAGGAGAGAGUGGUCAUUGGAGGGUCCAAGAAUGCCUAACAGCAUCUUGAGUUGAGGUUGAAAGGCUCGGUAGGGCCCCCCGGAGGAGAAUGGGUGGAAUAUCUUUGCACUUCAUCUCUGCAGUCACGUCCCAUUAAUAUAAUUCGUGUGUUUGACCUAUGUGUCUUCUUUGAGACACGCUGUGACUCUCAAAUUUGAGCAACUGAGUUUUAAUUACGACCUUUAUUGUUUCCUUGCACUUCUGGAGCGACUCAGCACCCAGGCAAUUAACUCUGCCUGUUUUUAUCAGGGUCGUUCCUACCACUGAGACUCUUGGCAGCUUCCAGUUCCCAGGAAGGCACUGAGGGUCAGAGUCUAAAUGGCUUUCAGCUCACAUUUCCCAUCCCAUCAUGCUUUCAGCAGGCGCCUCCUCUCAUAUCUGAUAGGGAACUCGCACUAUGUCAGAUAUGACAAAUAAGGCUUUAAAACAGCCAAGGGAAAUAUAAACAAAGAGAUCUACUUUUCAGACUCUGGUAGGAACAGCUCUUGAAAAAGAAAAGGAGAGAGGAUUUUUAACAGACUUCCUGGGAAACCAGUUCAAAUGGGAGAGAAGAGCUGCCAGUGGCAGCUGCUGAUCCUGUAUGUGUCCAUCUCUUACAAUAAAAAGAUGGUAGCAUCUACCUUGUGUUGACUUGUUUGCAUUUAAAGACCUCCUGGGUCUAGAGCGUCAUGAGCAUUAACAGCUAAAUAUAUGAGGAAGGGAAGAAUUUAUAGUUUAGGGCUAGGUAAUUGUACGUUCCUUUAAAAACUCUGUUUUCUUUUAGAAUACAUUUUUUCUCCAUUAAAAA